rnacentral:lncRNA from 1 species
UCCCAUCAUAAACCUUUUUCCUUAUUGUCUUAAUUUUCUAAUUUAUUAAGAAUCACUCAAAUUUGAUAUUUAUAACUUGACUUAUAAGUAAUUUAAUCCAAACUGCCAGAAAAUUCAAAACCGUUCCAGCAAUGACAUAGUAGUUCUUUAAGUCAACUUUAACUUUAUUUUAAGAUAGCUUAAACCCAGAAUUUGACACUAUGGUCCUCAUGAACCUUUUAGUCUUAUAUCUCAAGAUUUUUAGUAUAAAGUUCACAGCCAUCGGACACUUCUAGCACUAGUUAAA